ACAUGCAAGUCGAGCGAUGAAACCCUUCGGGGUGGAUUAGCGGCGGACGGGUGAGUAACACGUGGGUAACCUGCCUCAAAGAGGGGAAUAGCCUCCCGAAAGGGAGAUUAAUACCGCAUAAUAUGUUUUGAUCGCAUGAUCGAGACAUCAAAGGAUGUUCUUCGGAACUUCCACUUUGAGAUGGACCCGCGGCGCAUUAGCUAGUUGGAGAGGUAACGGCUCACCAAGGCAACGAUGCGUAGCCGACCUGAGAGGGUGAUCGGCCACAUUGGAACUGAGACACGGUCCAGACUCCUACGGGAGGCAGCGGUGGGGAAUAUUGCGCAAUGGGGGAAACCCUGACGCAGCAACGCCGCGUGAAUGAUGAAGGCCUUCGGGUUGUAAAGUUCUGUCUUCUGGGACGAUAAUGACGGUACCAGAGGAGGAAGCCACGGCUAACUACGUGCCAGCAGCCGCGGUAAUACGUAGGUGGCAAGCGUUGUCCGGAUUUACUGGGCGUAAAGGAUGCGUAGGCGGACAUUUAAGUCAGAUGUGAAAUACCCGAGCUUAACUUGGGUGCUGCAUUUGAAACUGGGUGUCUAGAGUGCAGGAGAGGUAAGUGGAAUUCCUAGUGUAGCGGUGAAAUGCGUAGAGA
rnacentral:rRNA from 1 species